rnacentral:rRNA from 1 species
AUGAACGCUUGCGGCGUGCUUAACACAUGCAAGUCGAACGGAAAGGCUCCUGCUUGCAGGGGUACUCGAGUGGCGAACGGGUGAGUAACACGUGGGUGAUCUGCCCUUCACUUCGGGAUAAGCCUGGGAAACUGGGUCUAAUACCGGAUAGGACGAUGGUUUGGAUGCCAUUGUGGAAAGUUUUUUCGGUGUGGGAUGAGCUCGCGGCCUAUCAGCUUGUUGGUGGGGUAAUGGCCUACCAAGGCGUCGACGGGUAGCCGGCCUGAGAGGGUGUACGGCCACAUUGGGACUGAGAUACGGCCCAGACUCCUACGGGAGGCAGCAGUGGGGAAUAUUGCACAAUGGGCGCAAGCCUGAUGCAGCGACGCCGCGUGGGGGAUGACGGCCUUCGGGUUGUAAACUCCUUUCGCUAGGGACGAAGCGCAAGUGACGGUACCUGGAGAAGAAGCACCGGCUAACUACGUG